UACGGAGGGUGCAAGCGUUAUCCGGAUUCACUGGGUUUAAAGGGUGCGUAGGAGGGCAGGUAAGUCAGUGGUGAAAUCCCCGAGCUUAACUUGGGAACUGCCGUUGAUACUAUCUGUCUUGAAUGCUGUGGAGGUGAGCGGAAUAUGUCAUGUAGCGGUGAAAUUCGUAGAUAUUAGCUAGAACACCAGUGGCGAAGGCGGCCAACUGGUCCGGUACUGACGCUGAGGUGCGAAAGCGUGGGGAGCAAACAGG
rnacentral:rRNA from 1 species